GAUGAACGCUGGCGGCGUGCCUAAUACAUGCAAGUCGAGCGAACGGACGAGAAGCUUGCUUCUCUGAUGUUAGCGGCGGACGGGUGAGUAACACGUGGAUAACCUACCUAUAAGACUGGGAUAACUUCGGGAAACCGUAGCUAAUACCGGAUAAUAUUUUGAACCGCAUGGUUCAAAAGUGAAAGACGGUCUUGCUGUCACUUAUAGAUGGAUCCGCGCUGCAUUAGCUAGUUGGUAAGGUAACGGCUUACCAAGGCAACGAUGCAUAGCCGACCUGAGAGGGUGAUCGGCCACUCUGGAACGGAGACACGGUCCAGACGCCUACGGGAGGCAGCAGUAGGGAAUCUUCCGCAAUGGGCGGAAGCCUUACGGAGCAACGCCGCGUGAGUGAUGAAGGUCUUCGGAUCGUAAAACUCUGUUAUUAGGGAAGAACAUAUGUUUAAGUAACUGUGCACAGCUUGACGGUACCUAAUCAGAAAGCCACGGCUAACUACGUG
rnacentral:rRNA from 1 species